UAAUAGGAAAUUAAGUGUAUAUGGUGGAUGCCUAGACUCUAGAAGGCGAUGAAGGACGUAGCAUGGCGACGAUAUGCUUCGGGGAAGUGCCUAGCAACUUUUGAUCCGAAGAUUUCCGAAUGGGGAAACCCAAUUUCGGUAACACGAAAUUGUCUUGCGAUUAAUCGCAUGACGUGCACCCUGGGAAGUGAAACAUCUCAGUACCAGGAGGAACAGAAACUAAUCAGUAUUCCCCCAGUAGCGGCGAGCGAAAAGGGAGAAGCCCAAACCUACGUACUACACUGCGUUUCGUACAUUGCGGAUAUGUGCGGAUGAGACGCUGAUUGAUGCGGAAAUUUUCUGCGUUGAUCUGCGUUUUAUCUGCGAUAAUUUGCGACGCACGGAGCAUAGCGUAGUGCGUGGGUGUUGUAAGGCAGAGACGUAGUUUACUAGGAAAGUUACAAAAGGUUUUCUUAAACGAAACCGCUGGGAAGCGGUGCCAUAGAAGGUAAUAGCCCUGUAGUUGAAAAUUAAACCUCUUUCUUGUCUCUGAUCUUGAGUACCUCGAGGAACGACAGCCUUGAGGGAAUCCAGCGGCACUAACCGCUAAGGCUAAAUACAUCUAGAGAUCGAUAGUGAACAAGUACCGUGAGGGAAAGGUGAAAAGUAGCCCGAUAAGGGCGUUGAAAUAGAUCCUGAAACCAUAUACAUACAAGGAGUCGGAGUCUGCGUACUACACUGCGUUCGUCGCGAAGUGCAAAAUGCAAAACGCAAAGUGCAAAACUGCAAUGCAAAAGUUGAGAAUUUAAAAACUUUUUAACUUUGAACUGAAAUNNNNNNNNNNNNNNNNNNNNNUAAGCAACGAGCAUAGCGUAGUGCGUGGAUGACGGCGUGCCUAUUGAAGAAUGAGCCAACGAGUUUAUGCCUGUUUCUAGAUUAAUCCGCGAUGGCGGGUAGUCAAAGGGAAACCGAGUAUUAAUAGUGCGCUUUCUUGUUUUUUAAAUCCGAGCUCGGGCUUUCGAGCCUGGAUUUAAGAAACUUGAAAAGUAGCAGGCAUAAGACCCGAAGCCAGGUGAGCUUGCCAUGAGCAGGGUGAACCCCACAGAAAUGUGGGGGGAGGCCCGAACCGAUAAGCCGUGCAAUACUUUCGGAUGACNNNNNNNNNNNNNNNNNNNNNNNNNNNNNNNNNNNNNNNNNNNNNNNNNNNNNNNNNNNNNNNNNNNNNNNNNNNNNNNNNNNNNNNNNNNNNNNNNNNNNNNNNNNNNNNNNNNNNNNNNNNNUCUCGUCAACUCUAUCAAACUCCGAAUACCGGUGAGUAACUACUAGGCAGUAAGACUACGGGCGCUAAGGUCCGUCGGUCGAAAGGGAAACAGCCCAGACCAUCAUCUAAGGUCCCUAAAUCUACGUUAAGUGUACUUAAGGAGGUGAAAUUUCUCUGACAAUGAGGAUGUUGGCUUAGAAGCAGCCAUCAUUCAAAGAAAGCGUAAUAGCUCACUCAUCAAGAGAUUUCGCGCCGCAGAUAAACGGGGCUAAACGUAGUACCGAAGAUAUGGAUGUCAGGUGUCUCACUAAUGUUCGACACACGCAGAUUCAUGCCGAUAAAACGCUGAUCUUUGCGGAUUUUCUCCGCGAUAAUCUGCGUCUCAUCUGCGCUUAUCAGCGUAAGUGGCGAGUGUUAGCGAGACACUUGGCAUGGUAGGAGAGUGUUUUGCGCCGCUGAGAAGCCUAGACGCGAGUCAAAGUGGAGCGCGCAGAAGUAAGAAUGUUGGCACAAGUAACCGCAAUCAGGGUGAGAUCCCCUGACACCGAAAGACUAAGGUUUCCUUGGCAAUGGUGAUCAUCCAAGGGUUAGUCGGGCCUAAGCCGAUGGCGAAAGCCGCAGGCGAUGGACACACGGUUAAUAUUCCGUGACUUUCUUUCAAAUCGAAGGAGGGACGGAGUCUAGUAUGUAGAGCGCAUUAUUGGAUUUGCGUUCGUAGGGUCAGGAGAGGUCUUUGGUAAAUCCGGGAUCUGGUGCAUGAUCUGCACGCCUCCAAGCCAAGCGAAAAUCCGGCGGGCAACCAAUGGAGAUUUUACAAAGCAGGCUUCCAAGAAAAGCUUCUAAGAUUAUUUGAAGGAAACCCGUACCACAAACCGACACAGGUAGUCAGCUCGAGUAGAGUAAGGUGAACGAGUGAGAGAUCCUCAAGGAACUCGGCAAAAAAUCGGCCGUAAGUUCGCAAUAAGGCCUGCCCAUCUAGUAUGGGCCGCAGCUAAAGUAUCCCUGGCGACUGUUUAUCAAAAACACAGCUCCCUGCAAACUCGCAAGAGGAAGUAUAGGGGGUGACGCCUGACCAAUGCCAGAAGGUCAAAUAAGUUUGGUGAUGCCGCAAGGUUGAGCUGAGUUUAUAAGCCCUGGUGAAUGUCGGCGAUAACUAUAAUCGUCCUAAGGUAGCGCAAUUCCUUGUCGGGUAAGUUCCGACGUGCACGAAUGGCGUAACGACUGGGGAACUGUCUCGAGGAUUCGCUCGGUGAAAAUACAGUGGGGGUGAAGAUGCCCUCNNNNNNNNNNNNNNNNNNNNNACCCCAGAAGCUUUACUAUAGCUUGAUAUUGAGUAUACGUUUUUCCUGCGUAGCAUAGGUGGGAGGAUUUGAAGUGAUGAUUUCGGUUGUCAUGGAUCCGACAGUGAAAUACCACUCUUGAAGGAUGUAUAUUCUAACCAUAAGGGCAAAAACCUUACGAGACAGUAUCUGGUGGGUAGUUUUAUUGGGGCGAUAUCCUCCUAAACAGUAACGGAGGAGCCUAUUAAGGUUGGCUAGGCGCGAAUGGAAACCGUGCCGAUAGUGUAAUGGUACAAGCCAGCUUGACUGCAAGGCGUGCAUGCCGAGCAGGUGCGAAAGCAGAGCAUAAUGAACCGACGAUUCGCAUUAGACGCGGUCGGAGAUUAACGGAUAAAAGCUACUCUGGGGAUAACAGGCUAGUUGUGCCCAAGCGUCCAUAGCGACGGCACAGUUCGGCACCUUAACAAAUCGGGGUGCUAUGCCAGUAAUGGCAUAUAGCUGAUCUGAUUUUUAGAGAAUAGGAGCUCUAGAGUCAGACAAAAUCGUGGCUUAUAACGGUGGACUCCAUAUGAUAUAAUUAUAUGGACAAUACCGUGGGAAGUUUAACUCAAACAGAACGAUCAAUUAUUUUAGGUUCGCUUUUGGGCGAUGGAUAUUUACGCAUUGUUCAAGGACGCAGAAAUGCUUUACUUGAAGUGAAUCAUUCAUUGGCUCAAAAAGACUAUGUUGAUUGGAAAUAUAAGAUGUUAAAAUCUUUGUGUAAAAGUUUACCAAAAGAACGAAAAGGAAAUGGCGGUAGACGAGCUUAUCGUUUCAGUACAAGGCAACAUGAAGAACUAACAAAAUUAUUCAAGCUUUUUUAUCAAAAUGGCAAAAAAGUGAUUCCAACGACCUUAGAACUUAAUUCAAUAAUGUUAGCAAUCUGGUACAUGGAUGACGGAAGUAAAUGUCGGGAAAGCGAUGUUUAUCUCAACACUCAGCAAUUUACUGUUCAAGAUCAGUUGAAGUGCGUUACAGCACUGGCAAAAAUUGGUGUGGAAAGUAGUCUGAAUCGAGAUAAACAAUAUUGGCGAAUAAGAAUUAAAAAAUCUUCUUUGCCUAAAUUCUUUGCUGAUAUUUCUCCCUAUGUUGUUCUAAGUAUGAGAUAUAAAAUGAGUUAUAACCCCGUAGAGACUUGUUUACUCCGCCAGAAAGCGGAAGUAACGGAGUCGUCUUUAUUGUAAAAAGACGGCUAAGACGCCACCACCUUCAUUGAUCUGAAGGUUGAAGAUAUAGUCCGAUCCUCCCAGUAAUGGGAGAAAAAUGACAGCGAUGUCGGCUCAUCUUAUCCUGGGGCUGGAGAAGGUCCCAAGGGUUUGGCUGUUCGCCAAUUAAAAAGAUACGCGAGCUGGGUUCAAACCGUCGUGAGACAGGUUGGUCUCCUAUCUACUGCAGGCGAAGACAAUUGAAGAGAUUUGUUUCUAGUACGAGAGGACCGAAAUGAACUGACCUCUGGUCUGAGAGCUGUCCUGCCAAGGGCAUCGCUCUGCAGCUAAGUCGGGAAUGGAUAACCUCUGAAAGCAUCUAAGAGGGAAACCAACUCUAAGAUUAAUUGUCAUUAUGAGACUCCUGGGAGAUUACCAGGUUGAUAGGCACUAGGUGUAAGCACAGUAAUGUGUUAAGCCGUGGUGUACUAAUUCGUCCAUUCCUAUUAGG
rfam:Candidatus Vogelbacteria bacterium RIFOXYD2_FTLL_44_9 rifoxyd2_full_scaffold_603, whole genome shotgun sequence.